AUUGAACGCUGGCGGCAGGCCUAACACAUGCAAGUCGAGCGGAUGAGUGGAGCUUGCUCCAUGAUUCAGCGGCGGACGGGUGAGUAAUGCCUAGGAAUCUGCCUGUUAGUGGGGGAUAACGCGGGGAAACUCGCGCUAAUACCGCAUACGUCCUACGGGAGAAAGCGCGGGCUCUUCGGACCUCGCGCUAACAGAUGUGCCAGGGUCGGAUUCGCUAGUUGGUGGGGUAAUGGCCCACCAAGGCGACGAUCCGUAACUGGUCUGAGAGGAUGAUGAGUCACACUGGAACUGAGACACGGUCCAGACUCUUACGGGAGGCAGCAGUGGGGAAUAUUGGACAAUGGGCGAAAGCCUGAUCCAGCCAUACCGCGUGGGUGAAGAAGGCCUUCGGGUUGUAAAGCCCUUUGGUUGGGAAAGAAAAGCAGCCAGUUAAUGCCUGGUUGUUCUGACGGUACCAAAAGAAUAAGCACCGUCUAACUUCGUGCCAGCAGCCGCCGUAAAAC
rnacentral:rRNA from 1 species